UACGGAAGGCAGCAGUGGGGAAUAUUGCACAAUGGGCGAAAGCCUGAUGCAGCUAUGCCGCGUGUAUGAAGAAGGCCUUAGGGUUGUAAAGUACUUUCAUCGGGGAGGAAAAAACAAAACUAAUAAUUUUAUUUCUUGACGUUACCCGAAAAAGAAGCACCGGCUAACUCCGUGCCAGCAGCCGCGGUAAUACGGAGGGUGCUAGCGUUAAUCAGAAUUACUGGGCGUAAAGAGCACGUAGGUGGUUUUUUUAAGUCAGAUGUGAAAUCCCUGGGCUUAACCUGGAACUGCAUUUGAAACUGAAAUACUAGAGUAUCGUAGAGGGAGGUAGAAUUCUAGGUGUAGCGGUGAAAUGCGUAGAUAUCUGGAGGAAUACCUGUGGCGAAAGCGGCCUCCUAAACGAAUACUGACACUGAGGUGCGAAAGCGUGGGGAGCAAACAGGGAUUAGAUACC
rnacentral:rRNA from 1 species